rnacentral:rRNA from 1 species
CUUCUUGCGAACAGUUAGAAGGAUUGACGGUACCGGAAUAGAAAGCCACGGCUAACUACGUGCCAGCAGCCGCGGUAAUACGUAGGUGGCAAGCGUUGUCCGGAAUUAUUGGGCGUAAAGCGCGCGCAGGCGGAUCAGUCAGUCUGUCUUAAAAGUUCGGGGCUUAACCCCGUGAUGGGAUGGAAACUGCUGAUCUAGAGUAUCGGAGAGGGAAGUGGAAUUCCUAGUGUAGCGGUGAAAUGCGUAGAUAUUAGGAAGAACACCAGUGGCGAAGGCGACUUUCUGGACGAAAACUGACGCUGAGGCGCGAAAGCCAGGGGAGCGAACGGGAUUAGAUACCCCGGUAGUCCUGGCCGUAAACGAUGGGUACUAGGUGUAGGAGGUAUCGACCCCUUCUGUGCCGGAGUUAACGCAAUAAGUACCCCGCCUGGGGAGUACGACCGCAAGGUUGAAACUCAAAGGAAUUGACGGGGGCCCGCACAAGCGGUGGAGUAUGUGGUUUAAUUCGACGCAACGCGAAGAACCUUACCAGGGCUUGACAUUGAG